AUCAUCCCUUGAUUAUUGGGCUUUCCUUCAAGGGGUGGUUUGGGAUGAUCUAAAUAAGUGCACUUUUUGACUUUUUAUAAAAUAUGGAUUGGAUAUGGGUUGGGUUUGAAGUGAUACGAUAGAGAAGUGAUGUGACUUAAAUAAGAUGACGUGACUUAAAUAGGAUAGUGACUUUUUGACUUUUUUAAAUCAUGCCAAACAAGGCCUAAAUAUAACUCUUGAAUUUUAAUUUUUGCCAUACUCGCAUAUUGCAAAUUGAAUCAUAUGCAGUUAAGUACAGAUCUAGACAGCUCUGGGUGUCUAAAGAGGUAAUUUAUUUAGAUUUAAGUUUAGUUGCAUAACCCUACUCCAAGUGCCGUUUUCUCUUGUGGAAAAAAAGAAGAAGAUUAUAUUGCAGCACUGUAGGCCACUUUGAUUUGAGAUGCAUAAGAUUGUGUGUGGACUUAAAGGACCCUUGAUAUUUCAGUUCACCGGUUGCUUAUAAUGUUAUAAGGUAAUUGUUAUAGGACUAGGGUUUAUUAAGUACUUGAAUUACAUCACCAAGGAUGUGCUGCCAAAAUAUGCAGCGUUGUGGGGUUUAUCAAAACACAUUUCUUUUUUGGUAUUAGUAAAACAUAUCAGAAAAACAUGCUUAGGGUGAGCAACCCGAUAAACACACACAAGAAAAGGUAUAAUAAGGGAUCGUACAAUAAGGGAUUGUCUUUAUUAAGCUUGGAAAUGAAUGGGAAGGCAAAGUGCGAGGAGGGGAUAAAAUAAAAAAGAGGAAAGUGUAAUGAAAGGAAAUGGUAAUAAUAGGAGAGUGUUAAGAGAUUUAAAGAGGUUUCAUUCAAGAAUCAAUGAUGAUGGCCAUUUGAAAGAGGUCAAGGAUAGAAUUGGUUACUAAUGAAAAUAUUAAGUUGGAAUGUGUCUUGAAGCAAGGGUGUAGUGAAAGAUUUCUUGGUUAGGACUAGCUCGUGUAUUGUAGCCCAUCAAGAAACAAAAAAUUGGAAAGUUUGAUAGGAAAUUGAUUAAGAACGUAUAUAUAUAUAUAUAUAUUGUGGGGGUGGGGGUUCUAGAUAUAGGAAAUGAAUUGCUUACUUGCUUUACCUUCAUGUGGUGAGUUAGGGGGAGAUAGUAGUUAUUGAAAAUGAAAUAGUGGUGGGGGAAUUUUCAGUGUGAAUAGUUUUAGGAAAAGGGAUGGUAGUGAUUGGUGGUUAGAUCAAAUUUUGAAAAAUCAAAUGAGGGUUGGGUUACAAGGAGUAUGAGGGAUUUUGAUGCUUUCAUUAGAGAUUGUGAAUUAAUUGAUACUCGAUUGUUAGACUUUUUUUUUUAAUUGGUCAAAUUUUUAGAAAAAAUUAGUAUGUAAUAGAUUUAGAUUCUUAUAUUUUUUGUGGUGGAAGGAAAGAUUUCCAAAUAUGAGAUACGAAGUGUUGUCUAAAGUAGUUUAUGAUCAUUACCCUAUUGUUGUAGAGAGUAGUUCUUUAAAAUGGGAUCUUCCGCUAUGUAGAUUUGACAAUAUGUGGCUUGAACACCAUUUGUUUUAGAGAUGUUUUAAGAAGUGAGAAAAUAAUAGGGUUUAUGAAUGAAACGGUUUUAAGUUUGUCAGGAAGUUGAAGUCUGUUAAGGAGAAUGUGAAGGGUUAGAAUGAGGAGGUAUUUGGGUAUUUAAGAGAGGUGAAAAAUGAGAUUGUGAGAAGGAUUGAAGAAUUGGAUAGGUUAGGGGCUUGGGUGAACUCGAUGAACCUCGUAGGAGGGAGAGAUUGAGCUAAAAGAUCAAAUUUGAAAAUGUUACUUUUAGGGAAGGAACUUCUUGGACGCAAAAUGCACACAUAAAUUGGCUAAAAAGAAAGGGAAAACAAUUCCAAAUUGUUUCAGAAGUUCACAAAUGGAAAAAGGCAAAGUAAAUUUCCUAAAUGUUGAGAUUUGAUUUGGUAGAUUGUGGAUAGAGAUGAUUUGAUUGUUAAUGUGGUCUUACAUAUAUAUAUAUAUAUUUAAAUUUUUUUUGUAGACUUCAUUCUUUGGAAGGGGAAGUUAGAUCGGGUUUAGAUGGUUUAAAUUGCUAUCCAAUUGAUGCUAGGAAAACAAGUUGGUUGGAAAUGCCUUUCGAUGAAAUGGAACUUAGACGUGCAGUUUUUAAUUGUGAGAAGGUCAAGUCUCCAUUGCUAGAUGAUUUCGCCAUGGCUAUUUCCUAAGAUUGUUGGGACAUUGUAAAGACGUAUUUAUGAUGGCCUUUGUGGAAUUUUUUGAAAUGCAGUGAUCAAUGCUUGUAUAAAUGCCACAUUCAUAUGU